UGGACGCCGACUUCCGUACAGUGACCGCGCCGCUGGCAGAGAUUGCUUUAGUAAACGAAACGCCCUUGCGGACACUUACGGCGCCAGCGCCGGUUGGGAGAACGAGCUUUCCUAUUGCCCUCGUCAUAGAUACCGCGCCGGAGCCAGCUGGGAAUAUGCCCUUCCCAGCCUGCUUAACGACAGACACCGCGCCGGUAGCGGUGGCCGAUAUGGUUUGAUUAAAAGUUGUCCCGCCAGAUGCCGGCGCCUGACCCAGCGCCAAGCGACCAAGGGCAUCGAACCCAAGCAUUAUCCUGCGAUGCCAUUAAUCGAAGCGGCGACGUCAGGGUUCUCCUGAAGAAAUCGGCGAAGUUUUUCGGUUGCGCUGAUCUGUUCGGCAGGAGCCGCCUCUGGCGGCGGGAUAAAUUCCGCAACCUCGCCGUGC
rnacentral:misc_RNA from 1 species